GAUGAACGCUGGCGGCGUGCCUAAUACAUGCAAGUCGAGCGAACGGACGAGAAGCUUGCUUCUCUGAUGUUAGCGGCGGACGGGUGAGUAACACGUGGAUAACCUACCUAUAAGACUGGGAUAACUUCGGGAAACCGGAUCUAAUACCGGAUAAUAUUUUGAACCGCAUGGUUCAAAAGUGAAAGACGGUCUUGCUGUCACUUAUAGAUGGAUCCGCGCUGCAUUAGCUAGUUGGUAAGGUAACGGCUUACCAAGGCAACGAUGCAUAGCCGACCUGAGAGGGUGAUCGGCCACACUGGAACUGAGACACGGUCAAGACUCCUACGGGAGGCAGCAGUAGGGAAUGUUCCGCAAUGGGCGAAAGCCUGACGGAGCAACGCCGCGUGAGUGAUGAAGGUCUUCGGAUCGUAAAACUCUGUUAUUAGGGAAGAACAUAUGUGUAAGUAAAUGUGCACAUCUUGACGGUACCUAAUCAGAAAGCAACGGCUAACUACGUG
rnacentral:rRNA from 1 species